UACGGGGGGGGGAAGCGUUGUUCGGAAUUACUGGGCGUAAAGGGCUCGUAGGCGGCCAACUAAGUCGGACGUGAAAUCCCUCAGCUUAACUGGGGAACUGCGUCCGAUACUGGAUGGCUUGGAUUUGGGAGAGGGAUGCGGAAUUCCAGGUGUAGCGGUGAAAUGCGUAGAUAUCGGGAGGAACACCAGUGGCGAAGGCGACUACCUGGCCUGUUCUUGACGCUGAGGCGCGAAAGCUAGGGGAGCAAACGGG
rnacentral:rRNA from 1 species